AUAAAUGUGCAAUAUAAAUAAAUUAAAAAUGUUUAGAAUAUUCGUAAAUAUUCGUAAAGAAUUAAUAUAUAGAGGUCAAUUUUGUAGAUCGAUACAUAAGCCAAGUCACGAGCAUGUUAGUAACGAUGAGAUUAUGUCUCCCGCCAACGGACAAAUAGAAACGAAUGUAACACAAAAUAGGUUAAGGAGAAAUAUAGAAUAAUUGUUGAAAUAAUAUGGAAGGCUUCGAUGAUCGAUACGCUAUGUCAGCAAUAGAUAUCGAAAGCAUGAAUAAGAUCGAUAAAUAUAGAACAAUGACGAUAUAAAGAGAUACGUACGAAUAAAAUGAAUGGGAAUAAAUAUCGAGGUAUACUCAAAAAAAAAAAAAAUAAGGCAACUACUCUCACCUAUCAUCUUCUUCUGUUCCAACGUUUGAUGCUACAAUAGUUUGAACGUUGUUUUUGAAACUCUUCCUCGAAAGGAACAGCUUAUCAAGCAAAGGCAUCAUAAACGAACGAUCGUUUAUAGCUACCGCAUUGCUUGCUAACUUUGUUUCGUUUUCGGUCUAUCAUGUCACAAGGAACUGCACCAUACAUGUUCACGAGUAUCAGUCAACUGUAAAUAAAGUCACGUGCGGAGGAGUCAUAUGAUUGCCCGAGAUUACUAUGUCCCGUUCAGUCGACAUCGAAUGGAAUGUUUUCUGGCUUUUUUCGUUCUUUGCCGUCACUAUUUAUUUCACUUCUCGCAGGCCAGGGAACCGGUUCAAUGAAAUGUUGAUAAAAAUAUCAAAAGCAUGAUAAGAAUAGGAAAAAAAACAAAUUCGUACAAUCGAAACCGAUUAUUGACUGCGCAUGAUAAUUUGAUUAUGGUAGAAGUUGUAGAGUAUACCGCAAGAGUGCAGUACUCGUCAAUAUUAACGAUUUCGUUGCAAUCAUAUUUGAAUUUUUUUUCCUUUAAAAAUUAUUAAACGAUUAUAAAUAUUUUAACAAAGUUUCAAGUUAGAUCUCGGCGUACAGGAACAUCAAAAUCAAUAUUUCUACGCAUUUUAUUAGCCAAUAUAAGACGAUGGACAUAUUCUGUAUCCCUAAUAUCUUCUGAUGUAUCAAACGCUCGUUUAACAUAAUUUUUAUUUGAUACUGGCAUAUAUACCGGAUAUUC